rnacentral:lncRNA from 10 species
GGGAAGGGCCGAGGGGACCCGGGGCCACCCGGUGCGCAGAGGCAGAGGGGCCCCCAAAACCCGCAACGCGGGCCCCUCAGUCUGCGGGCCAAGCCCGGGGUUUCCCUCCAUUAAGAAGUCAGUUGGGCGUUUCUGCUGGCGUGGAGAGCGCUACCAGGUGCCCCCGGAUUUUGAUCGGGAGUCGCUUUUGCCUUUCCGUGGACAAGCCUUCCUCCGCCAGCAGAUGCCCCGGGCAGGAAGAGAAGCGGUGGGUGAGUGGAAAGGGCCUUGGUAUGGAAACGCAGAGACCGAAUUCCUUCUCAUCUGCCAGCUCCGUGGCCGUGGGCACAUUAUCUGUUUUCUUAGUCCGGCUCAUCGUUUCUUUCAAAAACCAUUUUGGACCCUUCUGGGAAGGCAAAGAAGAGAAGCAGAGUGGACUGUGAGCGGACAUAAACCACCCUGAUGGGUAUGAUUUCCAUUUUUGGCACGGGAGUCCGGAGAUUUUGUGACCCUCUCCAAGGACACACAGCAAUCCCUUGAGAGCCCCAAGACCAGAGUCCAGUUGCCAUGACAUUGCUGCCCUAUAACCACACUCUGGGGUUCUGCCAUGUUCUGCCACUUGAACUGCUGAGCUCAAGUGAUCCUCCCACCUCGGCUUCCCAAAGUGCUAGGAUUACAAGCGUGAGUCACCAUGCCUGGCCUGAUGAAUCCUUCUUGACCUGCUCCCUAAAGGUCUCGUAGAGCAAGAAUGGCAAGCAUUUGUUCUGAGUUGGUUGGCUUAUUG